rnacentral:rRNA from 1 species
UACGGAGGAUGCGAGCGUUAUCCGGAUUUAUUGGGUUUAAAGGGUGCGUAGGCGGGCUGUUAAGUCAGCGGUAAAAGCCCGGGGCUCAACCCCGGCGAGCCGUUGAAACUGGCUGUCUUGAGAUGUCGAGAGGUAUGCGGAAUGCGCAGUGUAGCGGUGAAAUGCUUAGAUAUCGCGCAGAACUCCGAUUGCGAAGGCAGCAUACCGGCGGCGAUCUGACGCUGAGGCACGAAAGCGUGGGUAUCGAACAGG